UACGUAGGUGGCAAGCGUUGUCCGGAAUUAUUGGGCGUAAAGCGCUCGCAGGCGGUUCUUUAAGUCUGAUGUGAAAUCUUGCGGCUCAACCGCAAACGUGCAUUGGAAACUGGAGGACUUGAGUGCAGAAGAGGAGAGUGGAAUUCCACGUGUAGCGGUGAAAUGCGUAGAGAUGUGGAGGAACACCAGUGGCGAAGGCGACUCUCUGGUCUGUAACUGACGCUGAGGAGCGAAAGCGUGGGGAGCGAACAGGAUUA
rnacentral:rRNA from 1 species